UACGUAGGGGGCUAGCGUUGUCCGGAAUCAUUGGGCGUAAAGCGCGUGUAGGCGGCCCGGUAAGUCCGCUGUGAAAGUCGGGGGCUCAACCCUCGGAUGCCGGUGGAUACUGUCGGGCUCGAGUACGGAAGAGGCGAGUGGAAUUCCUGGUGUAGCGGCGAAAUGCGCAGAUAUCAGGAGGAACACCGAUUGCGAAGGCAGCUCGCUGGGACGUGACUGACGCUGAGACGCGAAAGCGUGGGGAGCAAACAGG
rnacentral:rRNA from 1 species